CCUACGGGAGGCAGCAGUGGGGAAUAUUGGGCAAUGGGCGCAAGCCUGACCCAGCAACGCCGCGUGAAGGAAGAAGGCUUUCGGGUUGUAAACUUCUUUUGACAGGGAAGAGCAGAAGACGGUACCUGUCGAAUAAGCCACGGCUAACUACGUGCCAGCAGCCGCGGUAAUACGUAGGUGGCAAGCGUUGUCCGGAUUUACUGGGUGUAAAGGGCGUGUAGCCGGGUUGACAAGUCAGAUGUGAAAGCCGGGGGCUCAACCCCAGAACUGCAUUUGAAACUGUUGGUCUUGAGUAUCGGAGAGGCAGACGGAAUUCGUAGUGUAGCGGUGAAAUGCGUAGAUAUUAGGAAGAACACCGGUGGCGAAGGCAGCCUGCUGGACGACAACUGACGGUGAGGCGCGAAAGCGUGGGGAGCAAACAGGAUUAGAUACCCUAGUAGUC
rnacentral:rRNA from 1 species